rnacentral:rRNA from 1 species
CCUACGGGCGGCAGCAGUGGGGAAUAUUGCACAAUGGGGGAAACCCUGAUGCAGCGACGCCGCGUGAGUGAAGAAGUAUUUCGGUAUGUAAAGCUCUAUCAGCAGGGAAGAAAAUGACGGUACCUGAUUAAGAAGCCCCGGCUAACUACGUGCCAGCAGCCGCGGUAAUACGUAGGGGGCAAGCGUUAUCCGGAUUUACUGGGUGUAAAGGGAGCGUAGACGGCAGCACAAGUCUGGAGUGAAAUGCCGGGGCUUAACCCCGGAACUGCUUUGGAAACUGUGCAGCUAGAGUGCAGGAGAGGUAAGUGGCAUUCCUAGUGUAGCGGUGAACUGCGUAGAUAUUAGGAGGCACCCCAGUGGCGAAGGCGGCUUACUGGACUGUAACUGACGUUGAGGCUCGAAAGCGUGGGGAGCACACAGGAUUAGAUACCCCGGUAGUC